rnacentral:tRNA from 1 species
GGGAAGAAGCUAAAUGAGCAAUUAGUUGUUACCUAAUAGAAAGUGAAAACAUCACCUACCCUA